UACGAAGGGUGCAAGCGUUACUCGGAAUUACUGGGCGUAAAGCGUGCGUAGGUGGUUCGUUAAGUCCGAUGUGAAAGCCCUGGGCUCAACCUGGGAAUGGCAUUGGAUACUGGCGGGCUAGAGUGCGGUAGAGGGUAGUGGAAUUCCCGGUGUAGCAGUGAAAUGCGUAGAGAUCGGGAGGAACAUCCGUGGCGAAGGCGACUACCUGGACCAGCACUGACACUGAGGCACGAAAGCGUGGGGAGCAAACAGGAUUAGAAACCCUAGUAGUCC
rnacentral:rRNA from 1 species